ACCACCUAGGGAGGAGAGGACACAAGGUUGGUGACUGCAAUUCCCUUCCUGCUCCUUGAGUCCAUGAGAGCCCUCAGCCACAGACAGAACGUUUUCAGGACCCAACUCUCAAAUAUCUUCUUAGGCAAAAAUGGAAACUAAGCCUCUGUGCCUAACAUAAUGGAGAUUGGUUUUCUUCAUAUAAUCUUCAUAACUACCCUUAGCUGUAUGGAAGAUUUCACCCAUUUAGGAGAGGAGGCGGAGAUAGGGACCCGCCAUCUCUGUGGGCCUCUGACAGGAGAUGGACGGACGUAAGUACUGCCACCCAAUCUGCUACUCUGAGGGGGACAUCAACAUGCCUGCAUGUCACUAUGAAAAUGAGGCUGCACCAUGGGAGGGCUCGCACCCCGAUGACAAGCAGGUAAGGCAUUUUGGGUAUUUUCCAUCGUGCUUAGCCAGGCUCUCGGCACUGUGUGUUUUGCAUUUCUGUGUGCAUAUCAGAAAGCAGAUGGCAGUGCCAUGGCAUGGAAGGUAUGGGAUUCUGACCGUGGUGCUAUGAAGGCUGUGGUCGUUUCACAUUGAUGAACACUCAAGUUUCCAGAGCAAUGGAUCAUUUUUGAAGCUUGGAUAACUUCAAUUAGAGGUUACAAUCUAAUAUUCCUAAAACUAAAAUGAUUGUAUGCUUCAUAAUAAAGAUAAAUCAACGUUUAAUUUUGGGCAAAAAUUCAACCAGUUCUCAACUGCUAAUCCUUAGUUCUUUUCUCUGCUAGCAGUAUUGGAGAAAAAAAUAAACUAAUUCCCUAAGAGCUGUACAUUAUAUUAUGAUUUUUCUUGUAAGGGGAAUCAGUCACUGUGGAGAUAAGUGAGGAGGCAAACACAGCAUAAAGUUAAAUACUUAGGAAGACCUAAGGAAUACCUAAGGAACGUAUCUGCGAAUGAAAGCUUAACUAGCAAAUUCCGUCACCACUUCAAUUCUGUAAAUGUGUGCUUGUUUAGAGUUACAAGCAGAACAUCUGGGAAGUGAAGCAAACCAAAGUAAUCUGGUUUCGAUUUUAGAUUUGAAACUUCUUGGCAGAAACCACCAUUCGCUUGCAAACGCAUCCUGCAAAGCUCCUCUCAGUGUAUGUCAUUUUAUCUCAGACCAGCAGUGUUUGUUUGUUUGGUUUAUUUGUUUCCCAGUAAUACCUCACGGGACACGCGGUACCUGACUACCAUGAAGCUCGGCCUUUCCGAUGUACUGGAAGAUGUUCAGGUUGCUUCUCCUCAGGAUGCCGGAACCGGAGUAGAGAAUGUCCAGGCUGUAUGUGGAAGCCGCAUGG